GACGAACGCUGGCGGCGUGCUUAACACAUGCAAGUCGAACGGAAAGGCCCUGCUUUUGUGGGGUGCUCGAGUGGCGAACGGGUGAGUAACACGUGAGUAACCUGCCCUUGACUUUGGGAUAACUUCAGGAAACUGGGGCUAAUACCGGAUAGGAGCUCCUGCUGCAUGGUGGGGGUUGGAAAGUUUCGGCGGUUGGGGAUGGACUCGCGGCUUAUCAGCUUGUUGGUGGGGUAGUGGCUUACCAAGGCUUUGACGGGUAGCCGGCCUGAGAGGGUGACCGGCCACAUUGGGACUGAGAUACGGCCCAGACUCCUACGGGAGGCAGCAGUGGGGAAUAUUGCACAAUGGGCGGAAGCCUGAUGCAGCAACGCCGCGUGCGGGAUGACGGCCUUCGGGUUGUAAACCGCUUUCGCCUGUGACGAAGCGUGAGUGACGGUAAUGGGUAAAGAAGCACCGGCUAACUACGUGCCAGCAGCCGCGGUGAUACGUAGGGUGCGAGCGUUGUCCGGAUUUAUUGGGCGUAAAGGGCUCGUAGGUGGUUGAUCGCGUCGGAAGUGUAAUCUUGGGGCUUAACCCUGAGCGUGCUUUCGAUACGGGUUGACUUGAGGAAGGUAGGGGAGAAUGGAAUUCCUGGUGGAGCGGUGGAAUGCGCAGAUAUCAGGAGGAACACCAGUGGCGAAGGCGGUUCUCUGGGCCUUUCCUGACGCUGAGGAGCGGAAGCGUGGGGAGCGAACAGGCUUAGAUACCCUGGUAGUCCACGCUGUAAACGGUGGGUACUAGGUGUGGGGUCCAUUCCACGGGUUCCGUGCCGUAGCUAACGCUUUAAGUACCCCGCCUGGGGAGUACGGCCGCAAGACUAAAACUCAAAGGAAUUGACGGGGCCCCGCACAAGCGGCGGAGCAUGCGGAUUAAUUCGAUGCAACGCGUAGAACCUUACCUGGGUUUGACAUGGAUCGGGAGUGCUCAGAGAUGGGUGUGCCUCUUUUGGGGUCGGUUCACAGGUGGUGCAUGGCUGUCGUCAGCUCGUGUCGUGAGAUGUUGGGUUAAGUCCCGCAACGAGCGCAACCCUUGUUCACUGUUGCCAGCACGUUAUGGUGGGGACUCAGUGGAGACCGCCGGGGUCAACUCGGAGGAAGGUGGGGAUGACGUCAAGUCAUCAUGCCCCUUAUGUCCAGGGCUUCACGCAUGCUACAAUGGCUGGUACAGAGAGUGGCGAGCCUGUGAGGGUGAGCGAAUCUCGGAAAGCCGGUCUCAGUUCGGAUUGGGGUCUGCAACUCGACCUCAUGAAGUCGGAGUCGCUAGUAAUCGCAGAUCAGCAACGCUGCGGUGAAUACGUUCCCGGGGCU
rnacentral:rRNA from 1 species